CCUGUCCCAGCUUAAAGACGAGGGGCUUUCCACAAGGACAAGGGUGGGGCUGCACCCUGACGCAAGUACCAUUGUGGAAAACUUUGAGUUUGAGCUCCUGUCCACCAGGACGUGCCUCAGGUGUGGGGAGAUGGUGUGUCGAACGGAGCCUUCCAACUGUCUGUCCGUGGAUUUAGUCCAUCAGGGCUCCAUAGAAGAUAGUUUGGCACUCUACUUCAAGGGCUUUGAGGUAGAGUGUAAGUGCCAGGGGUGCUCUGGGCAGUUGGCCUCAGUGGAUCAGAGGUUCCAGUCACUGCCUCGAAUGAGUAUAGAAUCACCAGCGUGCUCUCCCACAUUGGAUCGAAUAUGAGACACGGCCAUUACAUCAGUGACAGCAGCGACUGCAAUGGACGCUGGCUGUCAUUCGAUGACGAGCGAGUGACCCCGACGGACCAGAAGUCUGUGCUGAAGCGGAGGUCAAACUCAGCCUACAUGCUGUUUUACGAAAUGGUUAAAAUUCAGCAGAUUACAAAAUAGAAAAGGCUACUUGGGGCAGUCUGUCUUGCAUUAAACAGCUCAAUGUAAUUCUAGCUUUUGUGGUCAAUUAUCAUUUAUAUCAAUUUUGAGUUAUCCUUGAAAAUAUUUUUAU